GUGCCAGCCGCCGCGGUAAUACAGAGGGUGCAAGCGUUAAUCGGAAUUACUGGGCGUAAAGCGAGCGUAGGUGGCUUGAUAAGUCAGAUGUGAAAUCCCCGGGCUUAACCUGGGAACUGCAUCUGAAACUGUUAGGCUAGAGUAGGUGAGAGGGAAGUAGAAUUUCAGGUGUAGCGGUGAAAUGCGUAGAGAUCUGAAGGAAUACCGAUGGCGAAGGCAGCUUCCUGGCAUCAUACUGACACUGAGGCUCGAAAGCGUGGGUAGCAAACAGGAUUAGAUACCCAGUAGUCC
rnacentral:rRNA from 1 species